rnacentral:rRNA from 1 species
CAGUAGCCGCGGUAAUACGUAAGGCGCAAGCGUUGUCCGGAAUUAUUGGGCGUAAAGAGCUCGUAGGCGGUUUGUCGCGUCGUUCGUGAAAUCUUGGGGCUUAACUUCAAGCGUGCGGGCGAUACGGGCAGACUUGAGUACUACAGGGGAGACUGGAAUUCCCGGUGUAGCGGUGAAAUGCGUAGAGAUCGGGAGGAACAUCAGUGGCGAAGGCGGCCAUCUGGGACAACACUGACGCUGAGACGCGAAAGCCAGGGGAGCGAACGGGAUUAGAUACCCGCGUAGUCCCUGUCUCUUAUAA